GACGAACGCUGGCGGCGUGCCUAAUACAUGCAAGUCGAGCGAGACUCUUCGGAGUCUAGCGGCGGACGGGUGAGUAACACGUGGGCAACCUGCCUGUAAGACUGGGAUAACACCGGGAAACCGGUGCUAAUACCGGAUAAUCCUUUCCCUCUCAUGAGGGAAAGCUGAAAGUCGGUUUCGGCUGACACUUACAGAUGGGCCCGCGGCGCAUUAGCUAGUUGGUGAGGUAACGGCUCACCAAGGCGACGAUGCGUAGCCGACCUGAGAGGGUGAUCGGCCACACUGGGACUGAGACACGGCCCAGACUCCUACGGGAGGCAGCAGUAGGGAAUCUUCCACAAUGGACGAAAGUCUGAUGGAGCAACGCCGCGUGAGCGAUGAAGGCCUUCGGGUCGUAAAGCUCUGUUGUUAGGGAAGAACAAGUACCGGAGUAACUGCCGGUACCUUGACGGUACCUAACCAGAAAGCCACGGCUAACUACGUGCCAGCAGCCGCCGUAAUAC
rnacentral:rRNA from 1 species